rnacentral:rRNA from 1 species
CUUAUCACAUCUGCGAGCACACGAGACGCUACGCUAUUAGAGUGGCGGACGGGUGAGUAAUGUCUGGGAAACUGCCUGAUGGAGGGGGAUAAAUACUGGAAACGGUAGCUAAUACCGAUUACCCUCGGAUGUGCCCAGAUGGGCUUAGCUAGUAGGUGGGGUAAUGGCUACCCUAGCCAACGAUCCCUAGCUGGUCUGAGAGGAUGAACAGCCACGCUGGAAUUGAGCCACGGUCUAGACUCAUACGGGAGGCAGCAGUGGGGAAUAGUGCACAAUGGGCGCAAGCCUGAUGCAGCCAUGACGCGUGUAUGAAGAAGGCCUUAGGGUUGUAAAGUACUUUCAGCGGGGAGGCGUUAACUGCAGAAGAAGCACCGGCUAACUCCGUGCCAGCAGCCGCGGUAAUUC